GUUACACGAAUAGGCUCCAUGGCAUGGCUAUCUGGGGUAAUGCUGUUCAUACGGUUAAACUACCGAAUGAACAGGCAUCCGGUUAAAUGACCGAAUGCAGAAGCAAGGAGGCUGACGGCUCAGCGGUGUUCGCGCAAAUAAGUGUCCGUUUCCAGUUCCAUAGUUUGGGCGCCGAACACCGCUGGCAGUUCAGGACUUUAAAAUGGCCGCCGCCACGUGUUC